GAUGAACGCUAGCUACAGGCUUAACACAUGCAAGUCGAGGGGAAACGAUAUUGGAAGCUUGCUUCCGAUAGGCGUCGACCGGCGCACGGGUGAGUAACGCGUAUCCAACCUGCCCACCACUUGGGGAUAACCUUGCGAAAGUAAGACUAAUACCCAAUGAUAUCUCUAGAAGACAUCUGAAAGAGAUGAAAGAUUUAUCGGUGAUGCAUGGGGAUGCGUCUGAUUAGCUUGUUGACGAGGUAACGGCCCACCAAGGCGACGAUCAGUAGGGGUUCUUAGAGGAAGGUCCCCCACAUUGGCACUGAGACACAGUCCAAACUCCUACGGGAGGCAGCAGUGAGGAAUAUUGGUCAAUGGGCGAGAGCCUGAACCAGCCAAGUAGCGUGCAGGAUGACGGCCCUAUGGGUUGUAAACUGCUUUUAUAAGGGAAUAAAGUGAGAGUCGUGACUCUUUUUGCAUGUACCUUAUGAAUAAGGACCGGCUAAUUCCGUGCCAGCCGCCGCGGUAAAAC
rnacentral:rRNA from 1 species